UACGUAGGGGGCAAGCGUUAUCCGGAUUUACUGGGUGUAAAGGGAGCGUAGACGGCGAUGCAAGUCUGAAGUGAAAGGCGGGGGCCCAACCCCCGGACUGCUUUGGAAACUGUAUGGCUGGAGUGCAGGAGAGGUAAGUGGAAUUCCUAGUGUAGCGGUGAAACGCGUAGAUAUUAGGAGGAACACCAGUGGCGAAGGCGGCUUACUGGACUGUAACUGACGUUGAGGCUCGAAAGCGUGGGGAGCAAACAGG
rnacentral:rRNA from 1 species